rnacentral:ncRNA from 2 species
AUGAAGAGUAUAGGAGAGACUCUUAUAGGGCACCGAAGGUACAAGUUGAUAAUUUGCAAUUAUUAAUGAAAUUCUCAGGUAAAAGGACUAUACUUGGACA